rnacentral:lncRNA from 1 species
CAUCGUGGAGAAAGAGGCACGUACACUAGAGUAUCUAUAGAUGAUGUACCACACCACUGAAUUACAGGGGACACACAGUACCCAGUAUGCCCAGUGAAUGACUGACAUAUGGCAUGGAACACUCAGCUUUCGAAUAGUGCUAGCUUUAGCAUAGUAUUCCCGAAUACUGUUGUAAAGAUUUACGUCAAGCACACACAAUGUGUGAUCAGGAUCCUUGUAUAAAUAAUACCGUAGAAUGUGAGAUGGGCACGUGAUCAAAUGUCUCUGAAUGUCAAUCCCUUUCAUCGGGGGAUUGUAACAACUGGGUUUUUAUAUUGCCUAUUUUAGUGGAGAGCUUUGUCUAAUUACGUCCCUGGGAAGCAGAAAUAACACCUGAGGGAAAAGGACUUCACCCCCCUGCUCAAUAGGUAGAGAGAAGAGACCGGGGGGGGGGGGGGGGGGACGCUCGGGAGAGGCGAGACUUCUCCAUGUCCAGAGGAUAUAGAGGUAGAAUACAGGCAACAAAGAGAACGUAAAGGAGGGAAAUGUAGGGGAAUGAGGAGACUGCCAAUAUAAAGGAGGGAGGAAGGGAGAGAGAGAGGCUCAGUUUGGAUGGUAUGCUGUUUUACAAGAGAGGCUCAGUUUGGAUGGUAUGCUGUUUUACAAGAGAGGCUCAGUUUGGAUGGUAUGCUGUUUUACAGAGAGGCUCAGUUUGGAUGGUUAGCUGUUUACAAGAGAGCUCGGUUUGAGCCAUUUUAAAGGCGACCGCUGCUUCCAGCCGAGACCGUUCGGAAGGUGUUGUGCAUAUAUUAUCACCUUCGGUGAGGUUUUUUCCUGUUGUUCGGGCACACAAAACUUUUCUAGAGGCAAGCCAAAGUCGGUAGCCGAAGUCUACACCCCUUCGUUCGGUGAUUGUUAACAGUAGGGAUUCUUCCAUGAAGACUUUGCUGUCGUUCAACAAGACAGGCAACUCGUUCUGAUGUAUUUUCUUGGAGGGGGGGGGGGGGGGGGU